rnacentral:tRNA from 1 species
GCGGGUGUAGUUCAGUGGUAGAACACCAGCUUCCCAAGCUGGUUAUGCGGGUUCGAUUCCCGUCAUCCGCU